CCAUUUCAUUAAUGUGCUCUUCUCAUAAUUGCGGGCUUGACGGUGGCCUUAUUUCUCGAGCGUCUUGCGGCCCAUCCACCACAUAUGUCGUUGGAAACCCUUAUCUGUUCUGAUGCGAGCGUUCGUGUUCUUCGUCUCUUUCGAUCGAUCCAGAUUCUGUAACGGUUCCUUGGAUAUCUGAUUUUGAUCACAAGACAAAUCACUGUGAAGAAUCUCUGUAUCAAGCUUAUACUGCGUCGAUUCGUCUUUGGUUCUUUCCUCUGAAACGUUACGAAGUGUCUUGAUUCAUCACCUUUAAGAGACAUCUUAACUCCAUCAACGCAAAUCAAGCACGGCGUCUCAUUCAAUGAUACACAUCCGCUCCAAAGCAGUGUUUCUUUACCUAUAAAAGGAGUUUCUUCCCUGCGUUUACUAGGAUUGUCGGGGCUCUCAGUCAUAAACAGUGGAUCGAUUCGAUUUCUUUUGAGGUUACGCUUGAAAAGGUGGGACCUGUUUUGCAUAUUAUUAACAAUUCUGAGAAAGCUAUUUAUCUCAAAAAGAUGUACUUAUGACUUUGAAACCGAGCUAAGAUCAAGAAGAAGCCUCUUCUGAAGUCAUUCCCACUAAUUUAAUGGGCUUGCCAACGUUGUUCUCUAUGUGAAUGAGGUGAUAUAAUAUAUCUAAUUUAUGGUUUAGUGUGUUUGAUUUUAGUUUUUUUUUUCCAUUUCCUAACAAUGGAUUUAAUAAAUUUGAAUAUGUCGUUCUCUCUGAGUUGAAUAGUACCAGCACCCACCACUUGCUAAUUUUGCACUCCAGAGUGGUAAGUACCAUACAGAUGAUGAUAUGACAGCAGGGGCUGUAAGUCUCUAUGGACUCAAACCCAAUCGUGAACAACUUUGGUCCAACUAAGACCAACAGGUGUGAUGCUGCUACAAUAAUCGAAGGCUGUUCACAAGUGCCCCAACCAAUUCCUCCGCAAACUGAUCCACCAGUCAACACAAAGGAAGAAACAACAGAUGGUGACAAGGGUCGAAAUCUUAAGACAAUGAAGCUGGCUAAAAAUUUUCCAAUUCCAUUUCCGGUUGAAGUUUUUGCGCUUCACUCAGUAAUUUGUUGUCUUGCAACGUUUUAAUUAUUCAGUUUUGGUUUUCAUUAGUUUAAGGAUAAUUGGUACUCCUGAUAAUUUUAUUAUAUAUGUAGUGGUUCUGAAACUUCUUUAUUAA